GGCUAACAUAUCAGAAGGGGUGAACAGAAGCCCGCGGUUCGAUAUCCCUUCAUUUUAAUUUAUUGAUUCGACCCUUCUCUUAAGGAAUGGAUAUCCAGCUAUAAAAAAUUGAAGAAGAAUAAAAACUAAUUUAAAUUUAAAAAUGGGAUUAGAUAGAUAGUAAUAUCUACGUAUGCAUAUAAUUAUAUAAAACGAGGAAGAAAAUAAGGAAAAUUAAAAUAUAAAAUAAUGAAGAGUAGUAACGAGAGAAGCUGAUAUUAUAUUUCCAUUGGAAUAGAUAAUAUAUGGUAAAAUAGUUAACAUAUUAUUCGAGGUGUCCGCCAAGGACGAUUUUACAUACACCACGUCAGUUUCGAUCUCUUUCCAACGACAAACCUAAACGAAGGGCUCUUUUUGUUCUACAAGGGACAUCAAAUGAGAGAGAGACAACCAUCGAUAAAACGAAUACGAUCUUCGUAC